UCAAGCUCUCGCUCGCUACCCCUCCCCAUGAUGUCGUUUCAUUCUGACUUGCUUUUUUUUGACAGUCAAAUUGAAAAAAGUAUAAACACUACCUGUGAGCGGUAUGAGGUGACCUUUUCUCUCUUUUUUAAUGCUAAAUGUUUUUGCUUGUUUAACCAUUCUUUUGGGAGGAAUUGUUUUCACUGAUCUGGAUUUCUUGGAAGUGGAGUUGAAUAUGGGAGCAAAGGACAAGAAAGACAAAACACUCCCAGGGAGGAGAGAGACUCCGCCUGCAGUGACUGCUCCACUCUGCAUGGGCCACCAUCCCUAUCUGGAUCACCUUUACUACGAUCAUUGUCAGAGUCGCUGGCUGCAGCCAAGCAACACCGUGACCAAAUGUCUGGCGGUGAGUGUCUGCCGAGGCUUAGGGGAGGUCAGACCGAGUCCCACCUCCACACGGACCAAAGAGAGGAGGAGGAGGUGAAGGAGAAAUGAAGGACAGAGCUCGGUUAAUGUGUCAGGCUGCUGG
rnacentral:lncRNA from 1 species